rnacentral:rRNA from 1 species
UGGGGAAUUUUGGACAAUGGGGGCAACCCUGAUCCAGCAACGCCGCGUGAAUGAAGAAGGCCUUAGGGUUGUAAAGUUCUUUUAUUUGGGAGCAAAGUCUGCGUGUUAAUAGCACGUGGAUAUGAGAGUACCAAAGGAAUAAGCACCGGCUAACUACGUGCCAGCAGCCGCGGUAAUACGUAGGGUGCGAGCGUUAAUCGGAAUUACUGGGCGUAAAGGGUGCGUAGGCGGAUAUAUAAGUUAGAUGUGAAAAGCCCGGGCUUAACCUUGGUCGUGCAUUUAAGACUGUAUAUCUAGAGUUUGUAAGAGGGGGGUAGAAUUCCAAGUGUAGCAGUGAAAUGCGUAGAGAUUUGGAGGAAUACCGAUGGCGAAGGCAGCCCCCUGGUAUAGGACUGACGCU